UACGUAGGUGGCGAGCGUUAUCCGGAAUGAUUGGGCGUAAAGGGUGCGUAGGUGGCAGAUCAAGUCUGGAGUAAAAGGUAUGGGCUCAACCCGUACUGGCUCUGGAAACUGAUCAGCUAGAGAACAGAAGAGGACGGCGGAACUCCAUGUGUAGCGGUAAAAUGCGUAGAUAUAUGGAAGAACACCGGUGGCGAAGGCGGCCGUCUGGUCUGGAUACUGACACUGAAGCACGAAAGCGUGGGGAGCAAAUAGG
rnacentral:rRNA from 1 species